rnacentral:lncRNA from 1 species
GCUUUUUUCAAAGCUUAAAAGCCAAGAAUUUGUUCUCCAGUUUCCAUAGUUGCCACCCCCCUUGAGGCAUGCCUGCCUGAAGUCUAGUGGCCUAAAUGGAGGAGAGGUGACAGGGUAAAACGGAAUGAGGGACGGCAAGAACCAGUUAAUACUUAAAAAUAUUUGUCCUUCCUGGUGUCCUGUAGUUCUGAGGCGAUACUACGAAGGACUAGAAGCCUUGGACUCUGGAGUUUAAAUCGCGGGAAAUGAGGCUCGCUCCAGUCUGUCUGUCGUAAUACCUGAAGUGCCACCUCAGAUCUCAGUGAUACUCUGUAAACAUGAUCGGCAAGAAGGGGUGUCCGUCGGCAAACAACCAAAAUGGUACGUUGUCUGAGAAUGGUUUCAUGUGAGGCCUAAUUACAGGAAUUAUGAUUAUUUAGCCUAAAAAAAGUAAAGGCUAAAGGGAAAUAAGUAUUUCAAUGCCUAUCAUAUCAUGUGGAAAAGAGUAAACUUUUGUUGUUGUUGUGUUUUGCUCCAAGAGGAGAAUUAGAAUCAAGGAAUUAAGUUUAAGACAUCAAAUCUCAGUUCAAAUUAAAUUUGGCAGAGAUAACGCUGCCAUUUUCAUUUUGCUCCUGGUUAGAGCAACAUUAUAGACGAGCCCCAAUUCCUGAGACAUCACUUGAAGGAGAAAUACCCUAGGAAGGUGAGCUUCCUAACCCGUACUGAAUGAUGAUGUGAGGAAGAAAUAAACUUUUUAUCAUAUAAUGCCAGUUACUAAUAUUUUGUGAUUUUUAUGUUAUUACAGCAUAUCCUCUCCUGCUUGACUAAUACAGUAAGGAAGAACUUCCAAAGAAAGGAGUUUAGCAAUGGACUGGAUUUCCCACACAGAAGUACCUACCCUAUUAUGGAAAUUUUCAAGCAGAUAUGCAUGGAGAGCAAGGUGGGGGAACGGAGGAAAAAUUUGAGACAAUCAGGAAAAAAAAGGUAUCCCUAAUUCCACACUCUAACAGAGAAUUAUUACCACAUUAAUUUGUAUAUUUUCUUACAGUAUUUAC